AUUAAAGCCCCGGCGGUAAGAUGGGAUGCGUCUAUUAGUUAGUUGGUGAGGAACGGCUACCAAGACAGCGAUAGGUAGGGGGCCUGAGAGGUGACUUCCACACCGUACUGAGACACGGACAGACUUCCACGGGAGGCAGCAGUGAGGAACACCGGUAACGGACGAAGUUGAACAGCCUGCCGCGUGCAGAAGAGGCCUACGGGUUGUAUCUUGUUUUAUAUUGGGAAGAAACCCCCGGAAGUGUCCGGGGCUUACGGUACCAUACGAAUAAGCACCGGCUAACUUCCGUGCCCAGCAGCCCGCGGUAAUACGGAGGGUUGCAAGCGUUUUUCCGGAUUUCAUUCGGGUUUAAAAGGGUCCGUAAGCGGGUCUUUUAAGUUCAGUUGGUGAAAGCCUACAGCUUCAACUUGUAGAACUUGCCAUUUGAUACUUGAAAGAAUCUUUGAGUAUAUUUUGAAAGUUGGGCGGAAUUGUGUCAUUGUAGCGGUGAAAUUGCAUAGAUAUUGACACAGAAACACCGAUUUGCGAAGGCAGCUUCACUAAACUAUAAACUUGACGCUUGAAGGGACGA
rnacentral:rRNA from 1 species